GUAGGUGGCAAGCGUUGUCCGGAAUUAUUGGGCGUAAAGCGCGCGCAGGUGGGUUCUUUAAGUCUGAUGUGAAAGCCCCCGGGCUCAACCGGGGAGGGUCAUUGGAAACUGGGGGAACUUGAGUGCAGGAGAGGAAAGUGGAAUUCCACGUGUAGCGGUGAAAUGCGUAGAUAUGUGGAGGAACACCAGUGGCGAAGGCGACUUUCUGGCCUGUAACUGACACUGAGGCGCGAAAGCGUGGGGAGCAAACAGGAUUAGAUACCCUGGUAGUCCACGCCGUAAACGAUGAGUGCUAAGUGUUGGGGGGUUUCCGCCCCUCAGUGCUGCAGCUAACGCAUUAAGCACUCCGCCUGGGGAGUACGGUCGCAAGACUG
rnacentral:rRNA from 1 species